rnacentral:rRNA from 1 species
AUUGAACGCUGGCGGCAGGCCUAACACAUGCAAGUCGGGCGAACGGCGGACGGGAGAGUAAUGUAUGGGGAUCUGCCUGAUGGAGGGGGAUAACUACUGGAAACGGUAGCAAAUACCGAAUACCCUCAGGUGAACCCAUAUGGGAUUAGCUUGUAGGUGAGGUAACGGCUCACCUAGGCGACGACCCCUAGCUGGUCUGAGAGGAUGAUCAGCCACACUGGGACUGAGACACGGCCCAGACUCCUACGGGAGGCAGCAGUGGGGAAUAUUGCACAAUGGGGGCAACCCUGACGCAGCCAUGCCGCGUGAAUGAAGAAGGCCUUCGGGUUGUAAAGUCCUUUCGGUAGCGAGGCGUUACCUACAGAAGAAGCACCGGCUAACUCCGUGCCAGCAGCCGCGGUAAUAC